UCUUAUGCAGAGUGGUGGAGAGAAGGGCUCGAUGAAACCACGGCAACCGGCUUCGGCAUGGUGCCAAUUCCCCCAGCGAAAGCUGAAAGAUAAGA
rnacentral:ncRNA from 2 species